rnacentral:rRNA from 1 species
GGGCCCGCACAAGCGGUGGAGUAUGUGGUUUAAUUCGAUGCAACGCGAAGAACCUUACCAGGGUUUGACAUCCUGCGAAUCUCUUGGAAACAGGAGAGUGCCUUCGGGAACGCAGUGACAGGUGGUGCAUGGCUGUCGUCAGCUCGUGUCGUGAGAUGUUGGGUUAAGUCCCGCAACGAGCGCAACCCACGUCUUUAGUUGCCAGCAUUUAGUUGGGCACUCUAGAGAGACCGCCGGUGAUAAACCGGAGGAAGGUGUGGAUGACGUCAAGUCAUCAUGCCCCUUACAUCCUGGGCUACACACGUACUACAAUGCUACGGACAAAGGGCAGCAAACUCGCGAGAGCUAGCAAAUCCCAUAAACCGUGGCUCAGUUCAGAUCGUAGGCUGCAACUCGCCUACGUGAAGGAGGAAUCGCUAGUAAUCG